UACAGAGGGGGCAAGCGUUGUUCGGAAUUACUGGGCGUAAAGGGCGCGUAGGCGGCCUGUUAAGUCGAACGUGAAAUCCCCGGGCUCAACCCGGGGACUGCGUCCGAUACUGGCAGGCUUGAAUCCGGGAGAGGGAUGCGGAAUUCCAGGUGUAGCGGUGAAAUGCGUAGAUAUCUGGAGGAACACCGGUGGCGAAGGCGGCAUCCUGGACCGGCAUUGACGCUGAGGCGCGAAAGCCAGGGGAGCAAACGGG
rnacentral:rRNA from 1 species